UACGUAGGGUGCAAGCGUUAUCCGGAAUUAUUGGGCGUAAAGCGCUCGCAGGUGGUUCGUUGCGUCGUGCGUGAAAGACCCCGGCUCAACUGGGGGGUGUCGUGCGAUACGGGCGGACUGGAGGCCAGUAGGGGGAUGCGGAAUUCCGGGUGUAGUGGUGGAAUGCGUAGAGAUCCGGAGGAACACCAGCGGCGAAGGCGGCAUCCUGGACUGGUCCUGACACUCAUGAGCGAAAGCGUGGGGAGCGAUCCGG
rnacentral:rRNA from 1 species